rnacentral:rRNA from 1 species
CGGGUGAGUAAUGUAUGGGGAUCUGCCUGAUGGCGGGGGAUAACUACUGGAAACGGUAGCUAAUACCGCAUAAUGUCUGCGGACCAAAGAGGGGGACCUUCGGGCCUCUUGCCAUCGGAUGUGCCCAGAUGGGAUUAGCUAGUAGGUGGGGUAACGGCUCACCUAGGCGACGAUCCCUAGCUGGUCUGAGAGGAUGACCAGCCACACUGGAACUGAGACACGGCCCAG